AGUGAACGCUGGCGGUAGGCCUAACACAUACAAGUCGAACGGCAGCACAGGAGAGCUUGCUCUCUGGGUGGCGAGUGGCGGACGGGUGAGGAAUACAUCGGAAUCUACUCUGUCGUGGGGGAUAACGUAGGGAAACUUACGCUAAUACCGCAUACGACCUACGGGUGAAAGCAGGGGAUCUUCGGACCUUGCGCGAUUGACUGAGCCGAGGUCGGAUUAGCUAGUUGGCGGGGUAAAGGCCCACCAAGGCGACGAUCCGUAGCUGGUCUGAGGGGAUGAUCAGCCACACUGGAACUGAGACACGGUCCAGACUCCUACGGGAGGCAGCAGUGGGGAAUAUUGGACAAUGGGCGCAAGCCUGAUCCAGCCAUACCGCGUGGGUGAAGAAGGCCUUCGGGUUGUAAAGCCCUUUUGUUGGGAAAGAAAUCCAGCUGGCUAAUACCCGGUUGGGAUGACGGUACCCAAAGAAUAAGCACCGGCUAACUUCGUGCCAGCAGCCGCCGUAA
rnacentral:rRNA from 1 species